rnacentral:rRNA from 1 species
GAUGAACGCUAGCUACAGGCUUAACACAUGCAAGUCGAGGGGAAACGACAUCGAAAGCUUGCUUUUGAUGGGCGUCGACCGGCGCACGGGUGAGUAACGCGUAUCCAACCUGCCCACCACUUGGGGAUAACCUUGCGAAAGUAAGACUAAUACCCAAUGACGUCUCUAGAAGACAUCUGAAGGAGAUUAAAGAUUUAUCGGUGAUGGAUGGGGAUGCGUCUGAUUAGCUUGUUGGCGGGGUAACGGCCCACCAAGGCGACGAUCAGUAGGGGUUGUGAGAGGAAGGUCCCCCACAUUGGAACUGAGACACGGCCCAAACUCCUACGGGAGGCAGCAGUGAGGAAUAUUGGUCAAUGGACGAGAGUCUGAACCAGCCAAGUAGCGUGCAGGAUGACGGCCCUAUGGGUUGUAAACUGCUUUUAUAAGGGAAUAAAGUGAGUCUCGUGAGACUUUUUGCAUGUACCUUAUGAAUAAGGACCGGCUAAUUCCGUGCCAGCAGCCGCGGUAA